rfam:Ornithorhynchus anatinus chromosome 1, whole genome shotgun sequence.
CUCCUCUCAGGAUCGCACCUGGGGGGUUUCCAGUACUCUACCAGACUUGGCUACAGGAGGAAGAGUCAAGCAGAGGCCCACCCAUUCCAUUCCCAGCUUGGGCAGCGGCUAGCAAGUGGAAGGCAAUGUGUUACAAGU